rnacentral:rRNA from 1 species
AUUGAACGCUGGCGGCAGGCCUAACACAUGCAAGUCGAACGAGUGGCGGACGGGUGAGUAAUGUCUGGGAAACUGCCUGAUGGAGGGGGAUAACCACUGGAAACGGUAGCUAAUACCGCAUACCAUCGGAUGUGCCCAGAUGGGAUUAGUUAGUAGGUGGGGUAAAGGCUCACCUAGGCGACGAUCCCUAGCUGGUCUGAGAGGAUGACCAGCCACACUGGAACUGAGACACGUACCAGAAUCCAACGGGAGGAAGCAGUGGGAAAUAUUGCACAAUGGGCGAAAGCCGGAUGCAGCCAUGCCGCGUGUAUGAAGAAGGCCUGCGGGUUGUAAAGUACUUUCAGCGGGGAGGCGUUACCCGCAGAAGAAGCACCGGCUAACUCCGUGCCAGCCGCCGCGGUAAUUC